rnacentral:rRNA from 1 species
CUCCGAGUCCUUUAACUGACGCUAAUGCUCGAAAGUGCGGGUAUCGAACAGGAUUAGAUACCCUGGUAGUCCGCACGGUAAACGAUGGAUGCCCGCUGUUGGCGAUACAUUGUCAGCGGCCAAGCGAAAGCGUUAAGCAUCCCACCUGGGGAGUACGCCGGCAACGGUGAAACUCAAAGGAAUUGACGGGGGCCCGCACAAGCGGAGGAACAUGUGGUUUAAUUCGAUGAUACGCGAGGAACCUUACCCGGGCUUGAACUGCAGGCGAACGAUUCAGAGAUGAUGAGGCCCUUCGGGGCGCCUGUGGAGGUGCUGCAUGGUUGUCGUCAGCUCGUGCCGUGAGGUGUCGGCUUAAGUGCCAUAACGAGCGCAACCCCUUUCAUUAGUUGCCAUCAGGUGAUGCUGGGCACUCUAGUGACACUGCCACCGUAAGGUGUGAGGAAGGUGGGGAUGACGUCAAAUCAGCACGGCCCUUACGUCCGGGGCUACACACGUGUUACAAUGGGUGGUACAGAGAGUCAGUGCAACGCAAGUUGUAUUCAAUCAUGAAAGCCAUCCUCAGUUCGGAUUGGGGUCUGCAACCCGACCCCAUGAAGCUGG